UGUUCUCUCUCUCUCUCUCUCUCUCUCUAC
rnacentral:sRNA from 1 species